rnacentral:rRNA from 1 species
GACGAACGCUGGCGGCGUGCCUAACACAUGCAAGUGGAGCGACGAACCGGGCUUCGCCCGGGGCCAAGCCGCGAACGGGUGAGUAACACGUGGGUAACCUGCCCUGAUGAUUGGGACAACCCGAGGAAACUCGGGCUAAUACCGAAUGUGCCCUCCGACCCAUAAGGUCUGCGGGGAAAGGAAGCUUCGGCCUCCGCAUCGGGAUGGGCCCGCGGCGCAUUAGCUUGUUGGUGAGGUAACGGCUCACCAAGGCGACGAUGCGUAGCUGGUCUGAGAGGACGAUCAGCCACACUGGACUGAGACACGGCCCAGACUCCUACGGGAGGCAGCAGUGGGGAAUCUUGCGCAAUGCGCGAAAGCGUGACGCAGCAACGCCGCGGUGGGGAAGACGGCCUCGGU